AUUGUCAUAACUUUUAUUUGAUUAUUUUCAUUUACAGUUCUGGCACUGACACUUUUUUUAAAAAAAGAUUUUAAUUUUAUGUAAAGAUUGAACUUCAAUAAAAUAACUUAAAAAAUUUACAUAUACAUCACUAAAUUUCCAUAAAAUAUACAAUACUUUUGAUACAGCUAUAGGCUAGAAUGACUUUGAAGGAAAUGAUACAUAUUCAUAAUUUUUAAGAGAUAUCCCACAUGUCACAUGUAAGAAUAAAUAUUUAUAUUGAAUUUUCCAAGACAUGUGAAGUAUUAAAUACUAUAUAACAUGCACUCAAAGUAAAAUAUACAUUUUGAAAUACAUAUUUUAAAAGCAUAAAACUUUUGAUUUAAUCUAGAUGUACAUUAGAGCUUCUAAAUAGAAAUUUGAACAUUUAUUACAAAUAAAGUUACUAUAACAUCAAAUGAGAUAUAGUCCAAAGGCCACUGGGAACCAGUUUGGACAUGUAGAAUAUAAAGUUCUACUUUGGCUAGAGUUAAGUCUCAUCUUUUUUAACCUUCAAAUGAGAUGGAAUGAUGUUAAAUUUACUAAAAUUUUAAAACUUUACAAAAUAUCAGUUAAUUUUAAGUACUUGUAAACUGCAUUCCUUUUUCUCAUACUGAUAUGACAAAAAUCAAACACAUGAACUUAACUGUGUAAAGUAAAAAUAUGAAUAUUACUGCUAAAUGAAAGUAGUUACUGAACAUUCCACAGACCCAAUCACUCAAGUGCAACAGAGUGUUUUAUACAUAUAAACUCAAGAUUUAUAGGAAAUAUAUUGUUUUACACUCACAGGCAAAUUAUAAGGGUAAAAUUCUCUUAUGUACUUCAGAACACCAUUAACCUCUUAUCAAAUCUCUUUUUGAUGAUUGGCACACCAAUAUUUCCCUCUUUCAAAGACAAAGUAAAUGGGUUGGUAGCAGUAAGCUGUUUGGCAUUUUUAAAUGAUUGCUAUUUCCAGAAAAAGGCAAUAUUUCUCAUCCAGAACUGAAUGUCCUGAUAACUGAUGUGUUGCCGCCACCUGAUAACUUCAUCAAAUUAGCUUAACAUUACUGUACAAGAAGCUAGGAAAACUGAUAGAAAGUGACAGAAAACACGACAUUAAAAUUAAUCCAGAGAAGAAUUCUGAGUCUCUUCAUAGGCAGCAGCUAUACACGUGCUAUACAUUUUAUCCACUAGUUAACAGAUUUUGCUGUAGAGCACAUGUUAUGAAUGCUCUGCUGUCAUUCUUUCAUUUGUGGUUAGUAAGAGGAUAUAAACUGAAAACCUGUUGUAAAACUGUAUGGUGCUUAGUAUAAUUUGAUAUUUUGUAACCAGGAGACUGGUAAAAUAAAUAUAUAAAUAAAAAUCUCAUUAGUUUAAUCUUAAUUCCUGUGCCAAUGAAAUAUAACAAUCCUUCCACUCCCCCUCACUGUAUUACAGUAUUUAUAAACUAUAUUAGUGUCAUUAAGUUGUGAGACUUUCUUAGGUAAGAUAUGGAUAGUAUUUUUUAGAAUAUGCUCCCUCUGGAAUCUAUGAUUAUAAUACAUUACAAUCUUUCCAAGCAAAAGGAUAAGUUGUCAAUUUAUAUUUUUCCUGUUCAUUCUUACUCUGGAUAAGAUAGUAAACAACUUCUAACUUCUUUGCUUUAAUGGAAUUCUCAUUUCAGAGUGAAUAACUUAAAAAUAAUAUUUAGACUCUCAUAUACUAAAAUCUAGUUCAGUGGUAAAAUAAAAUUAUGAAAAAGCACUUGACAGCAUUACUGUCAUAGCAUUUUCCAUUAGGGAACUAAUUACUACAUAUGACUAGGAACAAAAUUUCAAAUGGAAAUAAAUAUUAAAUUUAGCUUUAAUUUCAAUCUUUUAUAAAUAUAUUAAAAAUAAUGUUUUGGGUAAUAAGGUAUAAUAGUAAAAAUUAUUAGGAAUGUUUAUAUUGAAGAGAAAUAUUAAUAUCAAAUCUUCAAAAAUUUAUCUGACAUCACAUUCAUCCCUAUGUGUUCAGAUGCAGAUGAAGCGUUAUAUUCUCUUUAGUUUAUUCUACAGCAGAUCUCAUCAGCCACCAAGCUAAGCCUCAAAUAGGGGUUAUAACUUUCUUUACUACGUAUUCCUAAAACAUAUCUCUAUUGAAUUUGCAGCAUGCUUAGGAGGAGACCUUAAUUUCAAUUAAAAGCAUGAUGCUUAAUCUGUUUUAAUAUGGUAGGCCAAAUCAUACCAUAUAUAAAUUGUCCUACAAAAUAUAUAUUUGAUGAUAUUUCAAAUGGAAUGUUUUCAAGUUGAUAGUGGUAGUCAAUGAUGCUGAGAACUUAAAAGGUACGUAAUAUAAAAAAACUGCAAAAUUCAAACACUUAAUUUUUAAUAUACUAUAAAUGUUCACCAAAUCUAAAAAUAAUACUCUAAUUGUAUAAGGUUUCUUUUUAAUUAGUUAUUUUUUAAAAAAUUAUAAAUAAUCUUUAUACUGUGCCACUCUGUCUUGUACUUCAAAGAUAUGGAAUAUUGUCUCUAUCACUAUAUAAAUAACAAAUAGACCUUUAAAGGAGAGGUUGGGGAGAAGAGGGGAGGAGAACUGUGGCUAAUUUUCCCUGUUAUUAUGUGCAUUUAUGGAUAUAAAGUUGAAUAUACCAUUUGCUUUAUGUCAGGGAGAACAGGCCAUGUUCUGCUUUGGAAAUAAUAAAAGUCCAGUUGCUCCUUUAAUAAAGUUACUGUGCAAUCAGCCCAGCUGAGUAUAUAAGCAUACAGUUAAGGCUAUGUAUACAAUAAAGAGAAGAAUUGAGGCAAUUAUUUGG
rnacentral:lncRNA from 1 species